AUUCCAAGUGUUGGGGUGCAGGGGAGAUAAUCUGAUUGGCUCAGCUUUAGUCAGCAGACCACCCCCGUCCAACCGGCUGUGUCUGUGGCUGAGAUCUUGUGAUAUAAACAAGGCUGCCAGCGCCCCUCUAUAGGAAGGAAUCCGGUGUUCUUAGAGAAAGGAGCCACAUGCUGGCGAGACACCCAGUUGGUGUCUUCUACAGUCACACACAGUGUGGUUUUGGCAAAAGUUAGUCUUGAAGAUGACUCCAUGACUGGUCUGAGAGUGUACUGUUCUCAUGCCUAAAACCAGAAGUUGCCAUCCAGCUCAGGCACCCCUUCAGGACUCAUGCCAGGCCAGUAUUGGUGUUGGAGAGAUCACAAAGGCCAUGGAUGCUGGGAAUAGUCUGUGAAGAUGGGGGUUUCCAAGGAAGGAAAGGAAGCUAAGCAUAGAGUUGUGAUCUUGCCUGGGAGUCAGAAGACCUGGACUUGAAACCCAGUUUUGCUGUGUGAACUUCGGCACAUUACAUAACUUCUCUGAACCUCAGUAGUUUCAUCUGCAAAAUGUUCUGGGUUUUGGAGUAGCUGACAUGCACGAAAGUCUUAACAGUGCUGAGGACAUUGAACGCAUCAUCUCAUUUAGCCCUCAAAAUAACCUUCCGAGGCAGGUGUCAGUGUUAUCCCAUGAGCGUGGGGAAGCUCUGUAGCAUACCCGGGGCUACAAUCUGGCAAGUGCAGAGCCAGGCUUCCCUCCCAGAUGUGACGUCAGGGUCCAGCCACAUACCCACUGCAAAAUUUACAACACACGGGAAAUGUUUAGCAUAGGGCCUGGAGGAUUAUCUUUGAGUCUCUUCCCCCUCCAGGCCUCAAUCUUCCCAUCUAUUAAAUGAAUGAAAAAAACUAGAGCAGUGCGUACAAGCUCAAAUGUGGAUGCCCACCAGGCAAUUGCGGAAGUCACGGAUGCUCUUCGCCAAAUGGCUGCAGCUCGCUCCCUCCUGGACACAUAGUAGGAUUGCACUUCCUGGGCUCUGUCACUGGGCGGGGCCUGUUACUGGUUCUGGCCAAUUGAGUUGUCAGCAGAAGCGACCUGUGCCACUUCUGUGCUGGGGCAAUUAAUUGCUGGUGGGAAACCCUCAGAGCUCCUUUUCCCUCCACCAUAUUUAAGAUACCGGCUGCUCCAAUAGUCUGGGUCCCAGAGUGAGGAGACUCAGAACUGGCUCCUGGCCAAGCUUCAAUGGACUAUAGUGGAAUUGUAGAAUGAGUGAGAAAUAAACCUUUUUUUUUUUUUUUUUUUGAGACAGGGUCUUGCUCUGUUGCCCAGGCUGAAGUGCAGUGGCACGGUAUAGCUCAGUGCAGCCUCAAACUCCUGGGCCCAAGUGAUUCUCCCUCCUUAGCCUCCUGAGUAGCUGGGACUACAGGUACUUGCCCCCACACCCGGCUAAUUUUUAAAUUUUGGUAGAGAUGCGGACUUGCUAUGUUGCCUCAAAUGAUUCCCCUGCCUUGACUUCCCCAAAUGCUGGGAUUAUAGGUGUGAGCCACAGCGCCUGGCCAAAUCUUUGCUUUUUAAGCCACUGAGAUUUGGGGAUGGUUUGUUUAGCAUAACCCAGCAUACCCUGAUUGCUACCACAGAUAAUAUAAACAAAUGAAAUGGGUUAAGCAUUCAAAUUUUAUUAAAAUGCACGACUCUCUCGUUUUAGCUUUUUUGUUGUCUCUCUUUUGAGGGAAACAAGAGGAUGAGUCAUAUUCCACUGUCUUCUUCCCACUUCUAUCAGACAGACAGUGACACAAUCAUCAUAAGUGGCUCCUGACACUUGUCCUCUGGGCUAGGGGGACACAGGGACCAGGAAAGGGGUGAUUGUGAACCUGAGGAAACAGCUAUUCAGUUCUGAUCCUGGCUGUAUGGAAAUAUGAGCCUGAUUUGCCAGACCUGAUUGUUUUUCAACACAAACUAAAAAUCCAGGUGUUUAUAGGAAAUCUUCCCAUCUGUACAAGUUGAUAAAUAAAUAAGAAAAGUAGUAACAAAUGUUCAGGUCAAACAAAAAUGUGUCAGUUGGCUGCGUGAGGCCUGUGGAGCACCCACUUGAAUCCCCUAGACCGGAAGGUCCACCAUGCCCCAUCCAGCUCUGACUUGCAUGCCACUCUGGCUGGCCAUGAACUCCCUGCAGGCUGGGACAUUGGUCAUUGCUGUCUCAGCUACACCUAGCCCAGCAUCUAAUAGUAAGGGCUCAGUAAAUGUGUGAUGAAUAAAUGGGUAAAUAAGUGGACAAAUGAAUGAAUGACAUUCAGUCUGGAAUGGGGGCCCAGGAAACUGAUUAUCUCAAGGCUUAGGGCAGGGACACCAGAGCCAAACUCCAUUGAGUCCUAUUUGGGUGAAAAUGAGCGUUGAGGCCGUGUGGGGUGGCUCACACCUGCAGUCCCAGCACUUUGGGAGCCCAAGGUGGGUGGAUCAUUCAAGCCCAGGAGUUGGAGAUCAGCCUGGGCAACAUGGGGAAACCCUGUCUACAAAAAAUACAAAAAGGAAGGAAGGAAAGAAAGAAGCAAGAAGAAGGAAGGAAGGAAAGAAGGAAGAAAGAAGAAGGAAGGAAAAAGGAAGAAGGAAGGAAGGAAGGAGAGAGAGAAGAAAAGAAAGAAAAGAAAAAAGAAAAGGAAAAUAAGCACUGAAUGGUGAGACCAGAAGGAUUAGGAACCUGCUCCUCCUCAGCAUCUUCCCUGAGGCUAGGCCCUGCCAACUGUCCUGCUCCCCACAUACUUGGGGCUCCAGGGCCCAGCAGGCUCAGCCUGAGCUGGAUUUGACCUGAUUCCCCACCCCGCCUCCUGCAGCCCCCAUGUCACCCACCUGUGCUAUCCUGUACGCUGCUCCUGGGACUUCAGGCACAGUCUCAGUCUCCUGCACCCAGAAUGGUCUCUCUGCUCUGCUUCCUCCCAUGCCCACUUGCCCUUGUUGAGGUCUAGCUCAUGGCCCACCAUUCAUAUCUUGGAGGCUCCUCUGAUUCCGAGUUCCUAGGAUAGAGGACCGCACAGAGUUGCUCGGUGGAACCCUAUUCCAGGAGACACUGCUACAGGCAGUACUAUAUAGUAUCGUGGUUGAGUUUAGGCUCUGGAGCCAGAUGGCACAGGACCACAUGCUAACUCUACCGCUUUCUGACUACGUGUAUGUAUUAGUUCCCCAUUGUUGCUGUAACAAGUUGCAAUACAUGUAAUAGCUUAAAACAACACAAAUGUAUCAUCUUACAGUUCUAGAGCUAAGUUUAAAAUCAAGGUGUGGAGAGGUCUGCAUUCCUUCAAGAGGCUUGAGGGGAGAGUCUGUUUCCUUGCCUUUUCCAGCUUCUAGAGACCGCCUGGAUUCCUUGGCUCCUGACUCCUUCCUCACAACACUCUAGCAUCUUCUUGUCAUCACAUCCCCUCUAACUCUCUCCUGCCUCUUUUUUAACAGGAACUUCUGAUGAUGUUGGGCUGGCUCUCCCCAUUUUAAGAUCCUUAACCUAAUCACAUCUGAAAAGUCCCUUUGCCAUGUGAGGUAACAUAAUCACAGGCUCAGGGAUUAGGAUAUGGAUUUUAGGGGACGGGGCUGUUCUUCAGUCUACCUCAGUAUAUAUAAAUUUAGGUGAGUUAAACUCAGUUGCCUUAUCUAUCAAAUGGCAAUAACAAUUGCCUCUAACUUCAGAGAGUUGUCUUGAGAAUUAAAAGAUUUAAUACGUAUCAAGGCCUCAGCCAGUGCCUGGGUCAUAGUAAACGCUCAAUAUAUGUUAGCUCUUCUUACUGUCAUACUGUAAAAUAAGGGUUCCAUGGCCAAUGAAGUUUGAGAAAGGCAGCAUACUGCAUCUGCAUCUUGGAGAUUCGUGAUGCCCCUCAUUGUGUUAAAGGCUUUGAUAAAUCUUGCAGAAAUAAAGGCUCCUGGUGGCUAGCUCAGCAUAUGAAUGUAUUUGACCUUCUAAUGAAACCAUUUCUUCCACAAAGCAUCUAUUUAGAUCCUCUAUAUUUAGAAGUUGGGAAAACUUGGCCCAGAAGUUUUCUGGUACUUAUACAAGUGACAGCAAUCAACAGAAGAGUACCUGGCAGAGGCAAAGAAUGCAAGUUUCUUUACAGGCCCCAGCCCAACACAUGUGUUCAUUGACAUACAGGACACUCAUUAGUACCCCCAGCUGGAGAGGCAAGCGGCUGUUCCCUUCAGGUCUCCCCCAUGUGGCCUCUGAUUAGGAUGAGGGUACUUCAAGAAACUUCUUUCUGUGCUUACAGGUGGAAAGGUGUUCUUAUACCCUCGGCCCCUCUCAAAUAUCUGGCUGCUUACUUCCUGCCCUCCAGGUGCAAAUAAUGAGAACCAUAACAACUCCAGCACACACCUGAGCGCUUGCUGCAGGGAAAGGUGCACUUUUCCAGGUGCAGUGGGCUGAAGGAUGUCCCCCAAAAACCUAUGUCAACCAGAAUCUCGGAAUGCAACUUUAUUUGGAAUAAUGGCCUUCAAAGUUUUAAUUAAGAUGAAGAAAUUAAGUUUUUGGUAGAGAAGAUAACUUGUCAAAGAUUGCACAGCAAGGACGUAGUUGCCUUAGCUAUCACUACAUAGCAGAGAAUCAUAAUGAUCCGAGGUUUGGCUGCAGCUUGGCUGAUCUAGGCUGGGCUCAGCUGGACUUGGAUCCAGGCCUUCGGUGUGGUUCAGAUCUGAUCUACGUGCAUCUCCUUCUGGGACCAGUGGGCUCCCCAAGGUAUGUACCUAUGACAAUGACAGGAGAGCAAGAAGGCAAGCCCAACCACACAAGCACAUUUCAAGCCUCUGCCGGCAUCACAAUGGCCAACAUCACAUUGGCCAAAGCAGGUUACAUGACUAAGCUCAAAGUUAAAGGGAUGAGAUAGUGCAUUUUGCCCAUUGAGGUUGGGGAGGGAGUGAAUACUUGCUGCUAGUCAAAGGCCUCAUCUUCCACAGUGACAGAGCUAGGGUUAAGACCAUGAUUUUUGUCAUGACAUCAUCCUUCCUCCACUGCCAUAUCCUAGCAUGUGGAGAGUUACCUUGGCUCAAUACAGUCCACAUUUCCAGCCCAUCCUGGCAUGCCUCCUCUAAGUGUGCUGGACCACUCAUAGCAUGUGCUGAGUGUCACGCAGCCUCUGCACUCACAUCUUCAGCCCCAAACCUUCCCCUGGAUCUUGAUCUACUCCUCUCACUGCAGCUUGGGUACAGACAACCCUUUGCCCAGCUCUGCCAUUCUGCAGUCUCCCCACCUCCUGACUCAGCUCUUGAUUUGAGUACAUGCUUCCACCUUUCUAGAUAUGGCCUGAGCUCUUUCAAGAUUCUGGUACCCACCUACCUCCUCCUAUGCACAUGGGAAGCCGAUGUUCCUGGCUUAUCACAGCAAGCUCUCGUGUAUAGUUGUGUAGGAUGUGCACUGCACAAAGGACCCCAGUUGGGGGCAAAACUCAG
rnacentral:lncRNA from 10 species